GUCGAGAAUAAUUCACAAUGGACGAAAGUCUGAUGGUGCAACGCCGCGUGGAGGAUGACGGUCUUCGGAUUGUAAACUCCUGUCAUCCGGGAGUAAGACCUGGCUGUGAAUAGCAGACAGGGUUGAUAGUACCGGAAGAGGAAGGGACGGCUAACUUCGUGCCAGCAGCCGCGGUAAUACGAAGGUCCCGAGCGUUGUUCGGAAUCACUGGGCGUAAAGGGAGCGUAGGCGGCGUGGUAAGUCAGAUGUGAAAUCCCGGGGCUCAACCCCGGAACUGCAUCCGAUACGGCCGUGCUAGAGGAGUGGAGAGGUAGCUGGAAUUCUUGGUGUAGCAGUGAAAUGCGUGGAGAUCAAGAGGAACACUCGUGGCGAAAGCGAGCUACUGGACAAUAUCUGACGCUGAGGCUCGAAGGCCAGGGUAGCGAAAGGGAUUAGAUACCCGGGUAGUCC
rnacentral:rRNA from 1 species